UUACGACCACAUCACGUUGAAACACCUUUUCCAGUAGGAUCACCGAAGUUAAGCAACGUUGAGCUUGGUCUGUACCGAAAUGGAUGACCGUUUUGGAAUACCAGGUGCUGUAAG